UACGAAGGUGGCAAGCGUUAUUCGGAUUUACUGGGCGUACAGGGAGCGUAGGCGGUUCGGUAAGCCCUUUGUGAAAUCUCCAGGCUUAACCUGGAACAGUCGGAGGGGACUGCCGGGCUAGAGGACGGGAGAGGAGCGCGGAAUUCCCGGUGUAGCGGUGAAAUGCGUAGAGAUCGGGAGGAAGGCCGGUGGCGAAGGCGGCGCUCUGGACAUUUCCUGACGCUGAGGCACGAAAGCCAGGGGAGCAAACGGG
rnacentral:rRNA from 1 species